rnacentral:rRNA from 1 species
GUGGGGAAUAUUGGGCAAUGGGCGCAAGCCUGACCCAGCAACGCCGCGUGAAGGACGAAGGCCUUCGGGUUGUAAACUUCUUUGAUCAGGGACGAAACAAAUGACGGUACCUGAAGAACAAGCCACGGCUAACUACGUGCCAGCAGCCGCGGUAAUACGUAGGUGGCGAGCGUUAUCCGGAUUUACUGGGUGUAAAGGGCGUGCAGGCGGGCUGACAAGUCGGAUGUGAAAUUCCCGGGCUUAACUCGGGCGGGUCAUCCGAAACUGUUGGUCUUGAGUACUGGAGAGGAUAGUGGAAUUCCUAGUGUAGCGGUAAAAUGCGUAGAUAUUAGGAGGAACACCAGUGGCGAAGGCGGCUAUCUGGACAGUAACUGACGCUGAGGCGCGAAAGCGUGGGGAGCAAACAGGAUUAGAAACCCCUGUAGUCC